UCCGGGACCGCCCCCAGCCUGGCGCCUCUGCCGCUCUCCUCAGCCCAACAUGGCGAUGCACAACAAGGCGGCGCCGCCGCAGAUCCCGGACACCCGGCGGGAGCUGGCGGAGCUCGUGAAGCGGAAGCAGGAGCUGGCGGAAACACUGGCAAACUUGGAGAGACAGAUCUAUGCUUUUGAAGGAAGUUACCUGGAAGACACUCAGAUGUAUGGCAAUAUUAUUCGUGGCUGGGAUCGGUAUCUGACCAACCAAAAAAAUUCCAAUAGCAAAAAUGAUCGAAGGAAUCGGAAGUUUAAGGAAGCUGAGCGGCUCUUCAGUAAAUCCUCAGUUACAUCAGCAGCUGCAGUAAGUGCAUUGGCAGGAGUUCAGGACCAGCUCAUUGAAAAGAGGGAGCCAGGAAGUGGGACGGAAAGUGAUACUUCUCCAGACUUCCACAAUCAGGAAAAUGAGCCCAGCCAGGAGGACCCUGAGGAUCUGGAUGGAUCUGUGCAGGGAGUGAAACCUCAGAAGGCUGCUUCUUCCACUUCCUCAGGGAGUCAUCACAGCAGCCAUAAAAAGCGAAAGAAUAAAAACCGGCACAGCCCGUCUGGCAUGUUUGAUUAUGACUUUGAGUAUGUAUAUUAGGUUAGGCUGGGAAGUUUUUUUUAAAAACAGAAAAACGUGAUGGAGGAUUGAUCUGAAGUUAAACAAAAAACCACGAGCUGACUAUUAGAAGACUCAUUAGUGCAGAAGCUUCCAGGCUGUAGAGCCCUGCUUCCCUUCUCCGACCUCACAAAGAUAAACAUCCCUCAUCUGAGUGCGUGGCCAUCCACCUCUGCUCUCCCAGACCCAGUGCCUGUAUCUCUGAGUAGUUUAUUCUAAAUGUGGUUGACAAGUCAUUUCUAUAAGACAUCAGAUCGUUUACUUUGUGUCAUUUUUAGUAGCAGAACUGCAGGAAGACCAAAACAUGGUUAUAAUCCCAGCAAGUUGCUAACUGUGCAUUUCUCCCUUCUUAGAAUGAAUGUCUCCCCCUCAAACUGGCUGGCACCAGCUUCAUCUAUGAUACCUAUCAAGAAAUGUUCUCUGGUUUUGUUUUAUGCUGAAAGUAGAACACAAGUCACAUUUCAAAUGGAGGCUGUAAAUAUCUAACAUUUUCUUAUUUUGUUUUGUGUUUUAUUAUUUUUCUAUUGUUGUUUUUACCAUCUUAUUUUCUUUGGGUACUUUUUGUAAUGCCUUUUGUACAGCUCAUACCUUACUGCUGACAUAUCUGAUAAUCUGCUUCUUGCAGUUGCCAGUAUUCUUAACUGAAAAUAAUCUGGUUUACCAUAAGUAAAAUGAGGAACUUGGCUCUUUGUUUUUUUGCAAGGAGAAGGUAAAGUGUGUUUAUUUAAUAAUUACCUAUCUUAAAUCUCAGUUGGAAGCAAUUUUAUGUUCAAGGAACAGGAAAAACUGAAAAACAUAAGUUUAAAUCAAUCAGUCAUUUUAAAAUAGAUAUUUUAAUUCUUUUGUAUAAAUAAAAUUUCAUAGGCUUUGACUUCUCAUGUUUUACUUUUAAACCUGAGAUUGUUUUUUCACUUAUUUUAUUUAUUCAUAUCAUGCCUUAUGGAAAUUUCUUUUUCCAUCUUUUCUCUCUUUGCUCGUAUUUGUCUGAUUAAAUAUUGCUCUAACAAUCAUCAAGGCAUAUGGAACGACUUAAAAUUACACCAAAAACUGAUAACAUGGAGUUCUUGAAUGGAGUGAAAGAUAACAUUAGUGAGAGCCAGUGUUGCUCAAUAGAUCCCCUUCCUCACAGGCAUUGAUGGGCCGAGGAACUUGCUAAUAAUUGUUACCUGCCUCUAGUGCAGUGGUGAUCUACCUUGGCUGAACAUUGGAAUCAUCUGGGAAGCUUAAAAAAAUACUGAUGCCUGGGUUCUACCCCCACAGACUCUGAGGUACAGCCUAAUUAAGGGAUUUCCUUUCAAAGAGUCCCUGGGAUUCUGAUAAGAAGCCAAGUUGAAAACCACUGCAUUAGAAGAUUAAGUGGUUUGAAUUAAGUCCUAUGUUAUGGAUCAGUCUAGGGCAUAAGAUUUAGGGUUUCACCUUUCCUUUGACUCUAUUUAGUCAUAGUCCCUUACUUAUGCCAUUAUCUUUGUAAGAGAAAAUAUGUUCCAUUUGUGAUAAUAUUGGUAGAGCUGAAUAUGGAUGGCAUCUAUUAACAAAACAAGUUUACCUUGUCAGAUGUGCAAAAGCUCUCACUC